rnacentral:rRNA from 1 species
UACGUAGGGUGCAAGCGUUGUCCGGAAUUAUUGGGCGUAAAGAGCUCGUAGGCGGUCUGUCGCGUCUGCUGUGAAAACUCAGGGCUUAACCCUGAGCUUGCAGUGGGUACGGGCAGGCUAGAGUGUGGUAGGGGAGACUGGAAUUCCUGGUGUAGCGGUGGAAUGCGCAGAUAUCAGGAGGAACACCGAUGGCGAAGGCAGGUCUCUGGGCCACUACUGACGCUGAGAAGCGAAAGCAUGGGAGCGAACAGG